rnacentral:rRNA from 1 species
GGGUGCGACCAUACCAGCACUAACGCACCGGAUCCCAUCAGAACUCCGAAGUUAAGCGUGCUUGGGCGAGAGUAGUACUAGGAUGGGUGACCUCCUGGGAAGUCCUCGUGUUGCACCCC